GCGCUCGAGGCCGCUAGAGAGCGAACAGCCGAAGGAGGCGGGGAGGCGGCGGUAGCACUCGCUCGCCUGCUCGCUCGUUUCCCGGCACCGUUGCGGGACCGUCGCUGCGCUUCUUGCCCUCCAGCCGCUCCGUGGCGCGCCGCCGGAGCAGCCGCCCCUCGGCCGGGUCCCCACUCCGGUCAGGAGUCGUGCGCACCCGCGGACACCGCGCGGAGGGCGAGCCGGCGCCACACCUGUGGAGCCGGCGGGCGUCGGGGGUCCCGGCCGGGGUCCCGCCGCGUGCGUGCUCGGGGCUGCGGGCCUCCCGGGCGCUGGGGGAGGCGCGUCCCCCGGCUGGGCGACGCGGGCACUAUGGGGCUCCCCGCGCUCGAAUUCAGCGACUGCUGCCUCGACAGCCCGCACUUCCGAGAGACGCUCAAGUCGCACGAAGCGGAGCUGGACAAGACCAACAAAUUCAUCAAGGAGCUCAUCAAGGACGGGAAGUCACUCAUCAGCGCGCUCAGGAAUUUGUCUUUGGCGAAGAGGAAAUUUGCCGAUUCCUUAAAUGAAUUCAAAUUUCAGUGCAUAGGAGAUGCAGAAACAGAUGAUGAAAUGUGUAUAGCAAGGUCUUUGCAGGAGUUUGCCACUGUCCUCAGGAAUCUUGAAGAUGAGCGGAUACGGAUGAUUGAGAAUGCCAGCGAGGUGCUCAUCACUCCCUUGGAGAAGUUUCGAAAGGAGCAGAUUGGGGCUGCCAAGGAAGCCAAGAAGAAGUAUGACAAGGAGACAGAAAAGUAUUGUGGCAUCUUAGAAAAACACCUAAAUUUGUCUUCCAAGAAGAAAGAAUCUCAGCUUCAGGAGGCAGACAGCCAAGUAGACUUGGUCCGGCAGCAUUUCUAUGAAGUAUCGCUGGAGUAUGUCUUCAAGGUGCAGGAAGUCCAAGAGAGAAAGAUGUUUGAGUUCGUGGAACCUCUACUGGCAUUCUUGCAAGGACUCUUCACUUUCUAUCACCAUGGUUAUGAACUGGCCAAGGAUUUCAGUGACUUCAAGACUGAGUUGACCAUUAGCAUACAGAACACAAGAAAUCGCUUUGAAGGCACCAGGUCAGAAGUGGAAUCACUGAUGAAAAAGAUGAAGGAGAAUCCCCUCGAGCACAAGACCAUCAGUCCCUACACCAUGGAAGGGUACCUGUACGUUCAGGAGAAACGUCACUUUGGAACUUCUUGGGUGAAGCACUACUGUACAUAUCAACGGGAUUCCAAACAAAUCACCAUGGUACCAUUUGACCAAAAGUCAGGAGGAAAGGGGGGAGAAGAUGAAUCCGUCACCCUGAAAUCCUGCACCCGGCGGAAAACAGACUCUAUCGAGAAGAGGUUUUGCUUUGAUGUAGAAGCAGUAGACAGGCCAGGGGUUAUCACCAUGCAGGCGUUGUCAGAAGAGGACCGGAGGCUCUGGAUGGAAGCCAUGGAUGGCCGGGAGCCUGUAAGUAACAAUUCAGGGAAGUAGAACAGAAAUAUAGGCCGUGAGUUGUUUGUUGCUUCCCAAGUGCAGUGA